AUUCACAAGCCAGGCCUAGAAACAAUGCAGAGCUGCCCUACAUUCCUUGCAAGCAACACAAGGCACAGUCCUUUGCUUGAUGUACAAAUUAAUGUGGGAGGAUCGAAUGUGUGCCUAGUGUGUUAGAAUGAAAGUUUAUCGUCAUCGAAUUCCGUGGAAUUCAGGGAUGGCAUAGUUCUUUAAUUAUCUUACUCCUUCCUUCCCCUGAGCGAUUGUGAGAACUGAUCAGAUUGAAUCACCAGAUGUCUGCUUCUCC
rnacentral:lncRNA from 1 species